CAUAGAUUUGAGUGAUACAGGAGCCCUUCCAACUAAAAGUCCUGAUCCAAGUCAUGUUGUUGGUCUGCUGAUGAAGGUCUCUGCUGUUGAGAAUUUGAAUGAAACUGAGAUUGAGGAGCAGAUACUGAAGCCAUUUGGAGAAACCCUGAGAGCACAAGGACUAAAUGUUACUGGGAUCCGGUUGAGAAGAGUUCAUCAGGCUGGACCUUAGAGGAACAGAGGAGGAACGUGAAGCCCGAUGCCCACUGCAGAGAAUAUAUGGAGACGUAAACAUGAGAUUACAUUAUUACUCUGUGUGGGAUUACAUGAGAACAUGAGAUUACAUUAUUAUUCUGUG